rnacentral:lncRNA from 1 species
AUUAAGUGAUAAGCAAGAAACAUCCUUCUGCAAUGUGCUGAGUGUACCUAAGGAUGGAGACAUGUAAAAGACAACGACAGGCCACAGCGAGGUGACAGUCAACACCCAUCAGGGUGUUGGCUUGCUGAGGUCUCACUCCUCAAAUAAUUAACCGAUCAAGUCAGC